CUUCUCAUAGCGACACAUAUAUAUAAACCACUAGUCCUAACGGGUUAUGGAUGUUCCUAUUGUCACGUGAACGCAGCCUAAGAAAGGCUUCUGACGGCGGGCUUACUAAACCACGGUUCGCAAUAUGUAAGUCAGUCCAAAGUACACCAAAACCUGGGAGGUGGAUGCUUCUGCACGGAGGAAGGCAAAGGGCAAACAUAAGGUUUGAAGAUGACAUAGAGGAAGAUAGAAACCACCGUCAGAAAGCAGGACACGGCCACCACAGCUACCACCAGCCAUGUAAAUGUGGAGUCUGCAAAGAGAAAGACAGAG